rnacentral:misc_RNA from 1 species
CGCGCCUAGCCUCGGCGCUGCCCUCCACCGUCGUCGUCUCCUCCCCGUGCUCCGCCUUCUCGCCCUCCUCCACGUCGCUGAGAUCCGCAUGCAUCAUAUCCUCCGAGUACGCCCUCCUCGUUGUCUUAGACCCAGAGAAGCCGAGCCUGCCGCCGCCUCGCUCAUCCCUAGAUCUGCGCCCAGUUAUGUCUCCUACCUCGUCACCAGCGUCUGCCGUGCCGACCCCGACCAACGCCGCCAUUCCGUGCGCUUGCUUCUGCGACUUUGUCACACUCGCAGACCAACUCGCCGAGGCCUUCCGUGGCCAUUUAGUGCCGCCGCUCCUAGACAAGAAUGUUGGUCGGGGAGCAAAGGAC